rnacentral:lncRNA from 1 species
GACUACAACGUUGAGUACUUUCUGCCAUUUGACAAGUCUCAGCUAGGAGUUUGUGUUUCUGAUCCAAAUUUAUUUUACCUAUCUUGUUUUUUUCUUACAAUAAUUUAUGAAUAUUUGUAUUGCAAAAUCAGAGCUGAUGGGAAACAUAAGAGAGGAGCCGAGUCUCAUCAUUUGACAAUUCACCAGAUUAUUGUUCUCAGUACUGAUACCAAUUGAUAUGGCUAAAUUUCCAAGACAACUUGGGCGUUAAUACUCUAAACAUUCUUGUUGUCCAUCAUGC